UACGAAGGGGGCUAGCGUUGCUCGGAAUCACUGGGCGUAAAGGGUGCGUAGGCGGUUCUUAUAAGUCAGUGGUGAAAUCGGCAGCUCAACUGUCGAUGUGCCAUUGAUACUGACGAACUUGAGUACAGACGAGGUAGGCGGAAUUGACGGUGUAGCGGUGAAAUGCUUAGAUAUCGUCAAGAACACCGAUAGCGAAGGCAGCUUACUAGGCUGUAACUGACGCUGAGGCACGAAAGUGUGGGGAUCAAACAGG
rnacentral:rRNA from 1 species